rnacentral:ncRNA from 2 species
CUCUAUUCUCAGGGCGGGGCGAAAUUCCCCACCGGCGGUAUGGGGGCGCGCCCCCGAGCCCGCGAGCGCUGCCAACCUCCAUUCCAGAGGCGGCAGGUCAGCAGAUCUGGUGAGAUGCCAGAGCCGACGGUCAUAGUCCGGAUGGAAGAGAAUACAG